CCUACGGGUGGCAGCAGUGGGGAAUAUUGCACAAUGGGGGGAACCCUGAUGCAGCGACGCCGCGGGAGUGAAGAAGUAUUUCGGUAUGUAAAGCUCUAUCAGCAAGGAAGAAAAUGACGGUACCUGACUAAGAAGCCCCGGCUAACUACGUGCCAGCAGCCGCUGUAAUACGUAGGGGGCAAGCGUUAUCGGGAUUUACUGGGUUGACAGGGAGCGCAGACGGCGGUGCAAGUCUGGAGUUAAGGGCGGGGGCCCAACCCCAGGACUGCUCUGGAAACUGUAAAGGGGGAGUGCAGGAGAGGUAAGCGGAAUUGCUAGGUUAGCAGUGAAAUGCGGAGAUAUUAGGAGGAACACCAGUGGCGAAGGCGGCUUACUGGACUGCAACUGACGUUGAGGCUCGAAAGCGUGGGGAGCAAACAGGAUUAGAUACCCGUGUAGUC
rnacentral:rRNA from 1 species